CCUACGGGCGGCAGCAGUGGGGAAUAUUGGACAAUGGGGGGAACCCUGAUCCAGCCAUGCCGCGUGUGUGAAGAAGGCCCUCGGGUUGUAAAGCACUUUCAGUGAGGAAGAACGCCUGGUGGUUAAUACCCAUCAGGAAAGACAUCACUCACAGAAGAAGCACCGGCUAACUCCGUGCCAGCAGCCGCGGUAAUACGGAGGGUGCGAGCGUUAAUCGGAAUUACUGGGCGUAAAGCGCGCGUAGGUGGCUUGAUAAGCCGGUUGUGAAAGCCCCGGGCUCAACCUGGGAACGGCAUCCGGAACUGUCAAGCUAGAGUGCAGGAGAGGAAGGUAGAAUUCCCGGUGUAGCGGUGAAAUGCGUAGAGAUCGGGAGGAAUACCAGUGGCGAAGGCGGCCUUCUGGACUGACACUGACACUGAGGUGCGAAAGCGUGGGUAGCAAACAGGAUUUAGAUACCCGGGUAGUC
rnacentral:rRNA from 1 species